GUAGGGAAUCUUCCGCAAUGGGCGAAAGCCUGACGGAGCAAUGCCGCGUGAGUGAAGAAGGCCUUCGGGUCGUAAAACUCUGUUAUAAGAGAAGAACAAAUUGUAGAGUAACUGCUACAGUCUUGACGGUAUCUUAUCAGAAAGCCACGGCUAACUACGUGCCAGCAGCCGCGGUAAUACGUAGGUGGCAAGCGUUGUCCGGAUUUAUUGGGCGUAAAGGGAGCGCAGGUGGUUUCUUAAGUCUGAUGUGAAAGCCCACGGCUUAACCGUGGAGGGUCAUUGGAAACUGGGAAACUUGAGUACAGAAGAGGAAUGUGGAACUCCAUGUGUAGCGGUGGAAUGCGUAGAUAUAUGGAAGAACACCAGUGGCGAAGGCGACAUUCUGGUCUGUUACUGACACUGAGGCUCGAAAGCGUGGGGAGCAAACAGG
rnacentral:rRNA from 1 species